UACAGGGGGGGCAAGCGUUGUUCGGAAUUACUGGGCGUAAAGGGCCAGUAGGCGGCCAACUAAGUCCGACGUGAAAUCCCCAAGCUUAACUUGGGAACUGCGUCGGAUACUGGAUGGCUUGAAUUCGGGAGAGGGAUGCAGAAUUCCAGGUGUAGCGGUGAAAUGCGUAGAUAUCUGGAGGAAUACCGGUGGCGAAGGCGGCAUCCUGGACCGACAUUGACGCUGAUGAGCGAAAGCUAGGGGAGCAAACGGG
rnacentral:rRNA from 1 species